AUUAUACUCCAUCCGUCCGAUAAUACUUGUCAUAGGAAUGGAUGUAUCUAGAUGUAUUUUAGUUAUAGACACAUUCAUUUUUAUGCACUUUUGCAACAAGUAAUCCCGGACGGAGGGAGUAGGUA
rfam:Hordeum vulgare subsp. vulgare, WGS project CAJW01000000 data, contig: morex_contig_104930